CACGAUAAUGGCAAACCUAUCGAAAGGUAGGGACGCAAAGCUAAAGGGCCUUCCGUAAGAUGGCAGCCAGCUACCGAAG
rnacentral:ncRNA from 1 species